GGGCCCGCACAAGCGGUGGAGCAUGUGGUUUAAUUCGAUGCAACGCGAAGAACCUUACCAGGGCUUGACAUACUGCAGAUCUUUUUGAGAAAGAAGAGUGCCUUCGGGAAUGCAGAUACAGGUGGUGCAUGGCUGUCGUCAGCUCGUGUCGUGAGAUGUUGGGUUAAGUCCCGCAACGAGCGCAACCCUUAUUUUUAGUUACCAACUUGUUGGGUUCUCUAGAAAGACUGCCGGUGACAAACCGGAGGAAGGUGAGGAUGACGUCAAGUCAGCAUGCCCCUUAUGUCCUGGGCUACACACGUGCUACAAUGGUUAAGACAAAGAGUCGCGAGUUCGUGAGAACCAGCUAAUCUCGUAAACUUAGCCUAAGUUCAGAUUGUAGGCUGCAACUCGCCUACAUGAAGUUGGAAUCGCUAGUAAUCGC
rnacentral:rRNA from 1 species